CUAGCGGCAGGCCUAACACAUGCAAGUCGAGGGGUAGGGUGCUUCGGCACUUGAGACCGGCGCACGGGUGCGUAACACGUGUACAAUCUACCUUUUGCUAAGGGAUAGCCCGAAGAAAUUUGGAUUAAUACCUUAUAGUAUUGUUUGGUGGCAUCACUGAAUAAUUAAAGCUCUGGUGGCAAAAGAUGAGUACGCGUCCCAUUAGCUAGUUGGUGUGGUAACGGCAUACCAAGGCUACGAUGGGUAGGGGUCCUGAGAGGGAGGUCCCCCACACUGGUACUGAGACACGGACCAGACUCCUACGGGAGGCAGCAGUGAGGAAUAUUGGACAAUGGUCGGAAGACUGAUCCAGCCAUGCCGCGUGCAGGAUGACGGCCUUAUGGGUUGUAAACUGCUUUUAUACAGGAAGAAUAAGGUCUACGAGUAGAUUGAUGACGGUACUGUAUGAAUAAGCAUCGGCUAACUCCGUGCCAGCAGCCGCGGUAAUACGGAGGAUGCGAGCGUUAUCCGGAAUCAUUGGGUUUAAAGGGUCCGUAGGCGGGCUUAUAAGUCAGAGGUGAAAGCACUGAGCUCAACUGAGUAACUGCCUUUGAAACUGUAGGUCUUGAAUGUUUGUGAAGUAGCUGGAAUGUGUAGUGUAGCGGUGAAAUGCAUAGAUAUUACACAGAACACCGAUUGCGAAGGCAUGUUACUAACAAAUUAUUGACGCUGAUGGACGAAAGCGUGGGGAGCGAACAGGAUUAGAUACCCUGGUAGUCCACGCUGUAAACGAUGGAUACUAGCUGUUUGGGAGUAAUUUUGAGUGGCUAANCGAAAGUGAUAAGUAUCCCACCUGGGGAGUNCNCACGCNAGUGUGAAACUCAAAGGAAUUGACGGGGGCCCGCACAAGCGGUGGAGCAUGUGGUUUAAUUCGAUGAUCCGCGAGGAACCUUACCAAGGUUUAAAUGGGAAACGACGUACCUAGAGAUAGGUAUUUCUUCGGACGUUUUUCAAGGUGCUGCAUGGUUGUCGUCAGCNCGUGCCCGUGAGGUGUNCNGUUAAACC
rnacentral:rRNA from 1 species